rnacentral:misc_RNA from 1 species
ACUGUAGGGACUUUUCAAAGACCUGAAAUCAAUGAACAAAAUCAGUCAAUCAAUUGUCAAUGCAGUUUCCAGCAUUGUCUAAUCAGUAGCAAGAGAAGGUUACAAGUUAAACUCCCUGUCCACAGCAGAGAUAGAUAGAUAUACUAUACACAUAGACAGAGAUAGAAUGUAACGCCCUCACAGUAGGUAGUCCGUACAUUCUACUGUUCCAGCGACUAAUGUCUUUUCGGACA